UGUGGUGUCUUCACUGCUUGUGUAGGCUUUCUCUAGUUGCAGCAAGUGGGCUUCGUGGUUUUCUCACUGUGGCACGUGGAAUCUUCCUGGACUAGAUCAUGUGUUCCCUGCACUGGUAAGCAGAUUCUUAAUGACUGGACCACCAGGGAAGUCCUAGAUUUAUUUUAAAUGCAAAGAAAAUAAGUUUCUAUCUUGUUUAAGCUCUUUUCAGUUCAGUUCAGUUCAGUUCAGUCGCUCAGUCGUGUCCGACUCUUUUUAACCCCAUGAAUCGCAGCACGCCAGGCCUACCUGUCCAUCACCAACUCCCAGAGUUCACUCAGACUCACAUCCAUCAGGUUCGUGAUGCCAUCCAGCCAUCUCAUCCUCUGUCGUCCCCUUCUCUUCCUGCCCCCAAUCCCUCCCAGCAUCAGAGUCUUUUCCAAUGAGUCAACUCUUUGCAUGAGGUGGCCAAGUACUGGAGUUUCAGCUUUAGCAUCAUUCCCUCCAAAGAAAUCCCAGGGCUGAUUUCCUUUAGGAUGGACUGGUUGGAUCUCCUUGCAGUCCAAGGGACUCUCAAGAGUCUUCUCUAACACCACAGUUCAAAAGCAUCAGUUCUUCGGUGCUCAGCUUUCUUCACAGUCCAACUGUCACAUCCAUACAUGACCACAGGAAAAACCAUAACCUUGACUAGACAGACCUUUGUUGGCAAAGUAAUGUCUCUGCUUUUGAAUAUGCUAUCUAGGUUGGUCAUAACUUUUCUUCCAAGGAGUAAUUGUCUUUUAAUUUCAUUGCGGCAAUCACCAUCUGCAGUGAUUUUAGAGCCCCCAAAAAUAGUCUGACACUGUUUCCACUGUUUAUUGUGAUCCACACAGUCAAAGGCUUUGGCAUAGUCAAUAAAGCAGAAAUAGAUGUUUUUCUGGAACUCUCUUGCUUUUUCCAUGAUCCAGCGGAUGUUGGCAAUUUAAUCUCUGGUUCCUCUGUCUUUUCUAAAACCAGCUGGAACAUCUGGAAGUUCAUGGUUCAUGUAUUGCUGAAGCCUAGCUUGGAGAAUUUUGAGCAUUACUUUAUUAGCGGGUGAGAUGAGUGCAAUUGUGCGGUAGUUUGAGCAUUCUUUGGCAUUGACUUUCUUUGGGAUUGGAAUGAGAACUGACUUUUCCCAGUCCUGUGGCCACUGCUGAGUUUUCCAGAUUUGCUGGCAUGUUGAGUGCGGCACUUUCACAGCAUCAUCUUUCAGGAUUUGAAAUAGCUCCACUGGAAUUCCAUCACCUCCACUAGCUUUGUUUGUAGUGAUGCUUCCUAAGGCCCAUUUGACUUCACAUUCCAGGAUGUCUGGCUCUAGGUGAGUGAUCACACCAUCGUGAUUAUCUUGGUCAUGAAGAUCUUUUUUGUAUAGUUCUUCUGUGUAUUCUUGCCACCUCUUCUUAAUAUCUUCUGCUUCUUUUAGGUCCAUACCAUUUCUGUCCUUUAUUGAGCCCAUCUUUGCCUGAAAUGUUCCCUUGGUAUCUCUAAUUUUCUUGAAGAGAUCUCUAGUCUUUCCCAUUCUGUUGUUUUCCUCUAUUUCUUUGCACUGAUCUCUGAGGAAGGCUUUCGUAUCUCUCCUUGCUGUUCUUUGGAACUCUGUAUUCAAAUGGGUAUAUCUUUCCUUUUCUCCUUGCUUUUUGCUUCUCUUCUUCUCACAGCUAUUUGUAAGGCCUCCUCAGACAGCCAUUUUGCUUUUUGCCUUUCUUUUUCUUGAGGAUAGUCUUGAUCCCUGUCUCCUGUACAAUG
ensembl:lncRNA